GAUUUCGGACAGUGCGAAUCAAGAUCGCGAUCACGAAAUGUCGAUGCGCGUAGAAUGCGUUACGAAAAUCGGGAAUAACGCGUUAAUUAUGUAUCCAGGUGUACUCAACCAAACUGAAAUUUGUCAAAUUUACCAAAUUAAAUGUUACUUGAUUUAACAAUAAUAAAAUGAACAAAAAAGUACUUAAUCGGAAGAUUAACUUCUCUUAUAUCAAUCGACAAAAGCACGUAUAUUAUAACAAUUUGUAUAAUUUUAUUUCGUAUUGAUUCAAGGUGCCUUUAAAGUCUGACAGUUUGCAAUAGAAAGUAUUCUGUAACUUGUAGAAUCAAUUUGUUAUAUCAGUCUGAAACGAUCAGCUGUUCACGAAGCGCGGCGCCAUAUUGGCUAAUACAAAUCUCGGGAAUAUUGUUGCGGGGGAAAAAGAAUUGUCAUCAUCGAUGAUAUAUGGCACGAAUAAAUAAGUUAAGCGUGCAGUAACGAAUGAAUAUCGGUGUAACAUCGCGGUGGAAGAAGUGUAACAAAGAUCAUCGAAUCAUAGACGAUAAAUAAAUAGCAAUUAAAAAUAAAUAAAAUAAUUUAUAAAUCUUCAAAAAUGUCGGGGUAUGCGGAAGUGGUGAUAGAGAGUAACUUGAAACCGUCGCAGUUCGGAAAAUCCGGGGGAAAUAAUGAAGAUUUCGAAGAAACUUACGAGAGUCCGCUUGAAAAGUCUAAACCCAUGCCACCGCGGAUGAUGCCGAUGGCGGAAGCGGUCGAGGAACUGCCGCGAAACGAACCGGAAAUCAUGGAGUUUUCAAACGCGAGAAAAACGAUCGAAGAAUCGAACAACAGGGUCAAGACGUUGAACAAGCGCAGCACGGCCGGCUUUACGAACGAGGGAUUCGAUCAGGGAUCCGAGGCGAAUUUCAUACCGGAUCCUCCGACGAGAAAGAGCGAGAAUCUCGAGAGCCAGGAUCUGCAGAUCAGGCCCAAAUCUCUCGCCAGCGUCGAUCCGGAAAAGGGGAAAAACGAUCCUCCACCGCCUUCUCCGCCCGAACAGGACAAACCGGACAUUGGAUUUCGGAGCGUGAUUAAUGCUAUCAAAUCGUUGGACGUCAAUCGAUAUGCCACGAAGAAGACGAUCGCUCAAGGGAUGCUGGACAUCGCUCUUCUUACCGCUAAUGCGUCACAGCUGAAAUACAUCCUGCAGGUUGGAAAGCAGCACGAGUUCUAUAUCCUGAUGCUGUCGUUGAUCUGUACGUCAAUCGGUCUCCAGGUGAUACAAGGCGUGAUAUGCAUCCUUCUGGGAUCCAGUUUGAACAUAAACAAGCAGCAAGACCAGAGGAAGGCAAACAUUUGGAACAACAUUUGCUUGGUCCUGAUGUUGUUAACCGUCGCUGUCAACGCUGUCAUAUCGGCAUUUGAUAUGCGAGACAGUUCUGCUCUGACCGAUGUCAACACCACCAAAGGUUCUUCGACCAGCCGACUGGGAUCCGGUCUUCGAUAAACCGGCCGCUUCGAAUUUUGCCGGGUUAUCGGUAUUGUUCCACGCAAAUUAUAAGUUAUAACAGACAACAGAAAAAUGAACAGAUUUUCCUCCCGGAAUUCCUCCCCCACUUCCGCCGGUUGCACCACCUGAGGCCUCAACUUUUUUCUGUUUAGGUAUAAAUUUGUGUGAAAAAUGUAGAUUUAAUAGAAACGAGAAUUCGGUGCAUCACUCGAAUUUGAAUGAAGAUUUUGAGCGCGAUUAUAUAAUAAAUCGAUUGAUAUGC
rnacentral:misc_RNA from 1 species